GACGAACCGUGCGAACGUUAUUCGGAAUCACUGGGCUUAAAGCGCGUGUAGGCGGGCGGGAACGUCGGUCGUUGAAAGCCCCCGGCUCAACCGGGGAACGGGCGCCGAAACGACCCGCCUCGAGGGACGUAGGGGGACCUGGAACUUCCGGUGGAGCGGUGAAAUGCGUAGAGAUCCGGAAGAACACCGGUGGCGAAGGCGGCCUGCUGGGCAGUUGCUGGACACUGAGGCGCGACAGCGUGGGGAGCAAACAGGG
rnacentral:rRNA from 1 species